rnacentral:lncRNA from 1 species
GUGUGUGCCUGUAAUCCCACCUACUUGGGAGGCUGAGGCAGGAGAAUCGCUUGAACCCAGGAGUCGGAGGUUGCAGUAAGCUGAGAUCGCGCCACUGCACUUCAGCCUUGUGGCAGAGUGAGACUCCGUCUCAAAAAAACAAACAAACAAACAAACAAAAAACCCAAAGGUUCUUUGGACUGGUGGAUAUCCCUACCUUAUACUAUUUCAUAAAUAAUCAUGCACUGGAUAAUUGUCACAACUUUGAAGUUACUCUAAGAAUUAUGAUGGUGGAGCUGAGUCACACUUUUUAUUACAGAGAAUUCUGCCCAGGCCCUUUGCAGUGUCCUAGGGCACGCUUACUUCCAGGCUUUAGGAGUGAGAGUUCACUGGCUUAAGUGAGGAGUACACAGGACCUGCACAUCUGACCUCUCUCAAGGACUAGGCAUUGAGCUGGGAGAUAGGAAGAUCAACAGGAUCAGAGCUUUGCCUUCAAGGAGCCACACAAAAGGGAGUGGGUCCAUUCUGUUCUGCAUCAGUAGAAACCAUACCUGUUUGCCAUUGUGAGUUACAGAUGACAGAAUGGUCCUCAGUGUCUUGAAGCCCAUUGCGAUGUCCAAUAGAACACAACAGUUCCCUAUUCUCCAGAGACCACCCAAGUUGGUGAUAAGGAAAUGGAGACCUCCUACUAUUCACUGACCUCUCA